CGAAAGAAGGUGAACUAUGCCUGUAUAGGGUGAAGCCAGAGGAAACUCUGGUGGAGGCUCGCAGCGGUUCUGACGUGCAAAUCGAUCGUCAAAUAUGGGCAUGGGGGCGAAAGACUAAUCGAACCUUCUAGUAGCU
rnacentral:ncRNA from 1 species